rnacentral:lncRNA from 1 species
GACAUUCUGGUCUUCUGAGCUAUGACAAGCAUUGCACAUCAAGGUUCACUUACAGUUUUCUGGAGCUUCUCUACCCUCCAUCAUCAAAUCUUUCCUGACUCCUCCAAAGAACCAGUUCCAAAGGUUUUGAAAACACAUCAUCAGGUAGAAAGAAGAAAAGAAAGCAGGAAAGAUUGGAAAGAUAAAGGAAGUCUUUCAGGUGAAGGCUUGACUUUGCUACACAAUUAAAAAUUUGCAGCUAAUAAUGCUAAGAACCAGUGAAAUAAAUUAUUUGUGUUUGAUUAAAACAGAUGGAGUUUGACAAUCUUUAAUCAACAUUAAGAAAAGCCUGCUGAUUUAUCAAUGAAUUUAGGACUGGACUCAGAUGACCUUCCCUCCAUCAAGAAUGGAUUGAACUUGGGUCCUUGAGCUUGCGCAGCAGGCGGCGAAACCACUGAGCUAAAUCCCCGGCCCCUAAUUGGAUUCUUUUCUAAGAAAAUCAACAUAAAGUGGUUUAUAAAUUUCAACACAAGAAUUUUAAAAGAAAAAAUAAGAAAAAGGAGUGAGUAUGCACAGGCUGUCUGAGGUAGAGAGCUGCAUGCCUGAGAAGAUCAUCAUACCACACCUGAGUUUUCUACUCUUCAUUCCCAGGACUUUUGCAUUGUCUGAUGACUUCCACUAACAUAGAUGGAGGAUGUGCAACCUGUUUCAGUGGGACACUGAAAGCCCUGCCUGUGGUGCUUUGAAUUCUGGCUUGAGUUCGGGCAGCUGAGUAUUCAUAUUUGGAAUGAUCUGCUAUGUGUACUGAUACUUGUGCACUCUGCAACACAAUCUUCAAAUCGCCAUACACAAUUUACUAAAAGCAGUGUGCCUGUGCUCUGCUGUAAAGUGACUUUGAGUGCUGAGCAUUGCUUCAUUUGUGACAGGAAAAAACACCUACACUCUAAAAGGC